AAUGAGUUGGAACUCAAACCCAGAGCCUUGUGCAUGUAUCUUGUGUACUACAGAGUUACAACUCCAGCUAUAGUUUUUUUUUUUUUUUUUUUUUUUUGUAUGUUGAUGCUCUCCCCAACAAUGUGCCAUGGAAGACAAACUGUAAAAGCAAAAUAUAGUGAUUCCAAUUUCUACUUCUUGAACAGUAUAUAAGGAAUAAGACACAUAACACAAUUGCUCCAAAUCCUAUAAAGAACUGACUUUAGAAACCUCAAACUAAGUUUCUGUUGGAGUGACUAUUUCUGCCCUUUUUUCUUAUUUAUUUUUGCACCUGUAUAUUACAGUGAGGGCUUUACACUUGCUAAAAACACACUCCCUCUUUGGUUUACAAGGCCCUUACUAGUCUGCUUGCAAAGCAUAAAAGUGAGGAGACAGUAGCAGCAUUAAACACAGAAAAAGAGGUAUAAUUAAAUUCUCUGCGAUGAACCACGGGGCAUGGUUGAGAAUGACACCUAAAAUUUCUCUUACUUUUAGUAUUAAAACAAACAUACAAACAGAAAACAAACCAAAUGGAAUAACACAACUUUCCUUCUUUUUUUUUUUUUUUUGCACUCAGUAUUCAAUAGCUAUAUUUUAGUACCAAGAAUCUUAAAGUACAAAAUGAACAAAAAAAAAAAGUCAUUAACUUCAUUAUGGCUUUCCAGUUCAGUAUAAUUUAGUAGGACAGUAAUAAUCACUACCUACAGAAAAACAAAAACAAAACCCAAUGACAAAAUGGUUGUGGAUUUAAUUAGAAACAAACCAAACCUGGUUGAUUUUAUUUACUAAAGCACUCUACAAAGCAUGGCUCUCAUUUACUUUCAAAGAUACGUGUAGACUUAAGUAAACAGAGCCAAGCUAUUGCUUCAUGUUUGAGGAUUCCUGAAUGAUUACCUACAGAAUACGUUACUACCAAAGAAGAGAAAACAAAGUGAAAACUGGAAAAUAGGACUUCUUUUUGUCAUUAAGUUCUAAGCCACAGAGCCUUUGAUAUUCAUGGAUUCAAUUUAUGAACAAUGGGAAAGGUAGGAUAUGAUAAAAACUAUAGUUUAUUUUAAAGGUAGCCAGUUCUUUAAAACAAACCCUGUCCACUUUUCUCCACCUCUGAAUGAACAGAUCAUUUUAUUGUACAAACUCACCCCAUUUCCCAACUGGACACUUCGUAAAAGGAGGAAACAAAAAGCUGGUUACCACAGAGAUCAUAAAUUGUUUGUAAAUGGAAAGAAAGUAUAGAGUAUAAAGAGAUACCAUUGGAGUUAAUACUGAUGCAAUCUAAAUUUUAAUUCAUCAAAGUAUUUAGUAAUGGUCUUAAGAAUAGGAACUCCAGGCAAGUAACUUCCAGAGGCUGUAAGCACUUGUUUAGAAUGCGUGAUAACCCUUGUAAAAAAGACUUACUGGCUGUUUUCAGUGAUUUUACAGUCAAGUAUUGUUUAUAUAUUUUAAUGGACCCAAUUAUAUCAUAAGUAGCAACUGUUCACAUCAGGCAAUGGAGUAUUUCUUUCAGUAAAGAAAAAUCUAAAAAAAUAUAAUUUUUUCUAUUUCAGUCAAUCCCCAAUUUGGGAAUGAAGAGUGAAAUAACAUGCCUCCUUUAAAAAAAAAUACUAUAUAUAUAUAUUUUUUUUUUUUCUCCAUUACAUUGCUGGAAAGGGAAAAAAAGACAACCAAAUUAAUUUGUAACUUUCAUCUAUUUCUAAGAAUAUUCCCUUUAUAAAAAAUUUUUGGUCUUAAAUACUAUGACUAGUUUAGACUUCCAGAUAAAUAAAAUAAAGGUAUAUUAACAAUCAAAUGAUUAACCAUAUUUAUCUGCUCACAUUUAUGGAUUCUCUAUCAGAGUGCAUGUAAUACUGUUAACAUUUAGUCCAAGUUAACAUGUCAUGUUACCUCACUGUUUACAACACUGAUCAGAUCAGGGACAAUCCUGACUUAGGGAAGGGAGUAAUAUAUCACACUGUUAGCACAGGUAGCAGGACACUAACUGUAACUACAGUUUUAAAUCUCUACUCAUCACCUAUCUGCCACCCCUCUUCCUAUCAGCUAUGGAAUUUUCAAAGCCUAAUCAUGUAAGCAGCACAGUGCCACACUAUUUAUAUUGAAAUAAUGGGUCUCAAAUACCAAAUAAAAAAGAAAACGUUGAAGAAGGAUUUAACUUUCUGAAUAGUACAAAUUCACUAUUUUCAAUUUCUUCAUCUUUAUUUCUUCUGGUCAUAGAUAAAUGAUUUCUUGUUCCUUCUUUCAUCCACAGGGCUUAAUAAGUAUUAGAAAAUGGUAUUCCAGUUCAAAGGUGCUGUGAUCAUAACCGCAGGGAGCAACAGACAAAUGUGUACUAUGCUUCAAAAUGGUUUGUAAUUCUCCACUCUAGUAAGUUCCCUACUGAUGGUUCCCUUACAUUAAGGCAAAAAGAAAUCCACAGUAUUAUGAGCUGAGCUUCUGAAUUAAGUACACUUUCCAAAAUAAAGUAGUGCUGGAGUAUCUCGGUAACAAUGCUACUCAUUAGUGUCAUGACUGAAGUAGUAUCUCACUGGAGGGCCGGGCAAAUCUUCAUCUCCAUCAGCGUCUGGGGCAAAUGACACAGUAAGAUCCACAUAUUUCUUCUCAGUGGAAGGCUUCACAAGUUUGUGCAUUCUAAGAAUAAGCAAAGAUAAGUACUUUGGUGACUUGAUUAAAUGAAAGAACUUUUUGUUACUUUGUACUAGUCAGAGAUUGAACUUGCAUAUAUACUUUAAAAUAUGAAUAAUUUGCCUAUUCUUAUACAUUAAUUUUUCCUUACUAAAAGCUCCAAAUUGAAAGCAUGUAUCUAAUAGGACGUCCUCUGGUCAUG
rnacentral:lncRNA from 1 species